rnacentral:rRNA from 1 species
CACGUAGGGGGCAAGCGUUGUCCGGAUUUAUUGGGCGUAAAGAGCUCGUAGGCGGCUCAGUAAGUCGGGUGUGAAACCUCCAGGCUCAACCUGGAGACGCCACCCGAUACUGCUGUGGCUUGAGUCCGGUAGGGGAGCGUGGAAUUCCUGGUGUAGCGGUGAAAUGCGCAGAUAUCAGGAGGAACACCGGUGGCGAAGGCAGCUCGCUGGGACGGUACUGACGCUGAGACGCGAAAGCGUGGGGAGCAAACAGG